UUGGGCACGGCCGGAGCGAUCCGGUGGCGUAAAGCUAGAGGGACUUCGAUGUUGGAAGUCAGCCAGGUAUCCGCC
rnacentral:ncRNA from 1 species